AGUGAACGCUGGCGGUAGGCCUAACGCAUGCAAGUCGAACGGCAGCACAGUAAGAGCUUGCUCUUACGGGUGGCGAGUGGCGGACGGGUGAGGGAUACAUCGGAAUCUACUUUUUCGUGGGGGAUAACGUAGGGAAACUUACGCUAAUACCGCAUACGACCUACGGGUGAAAGCAGGGGAUCUUCGGACCUUGCGCGAUUGAAUGAGCCGAUGUCGGAUUAGCUAGUUGGCGGGGUAAAGGCCCACCAAGGCGACGAUCCGUAGCUGGUCUGAGAGGAUGAUCAGCCACACUGGAACUGAGACACGGUCCAGACUCCUACGGGAGGCAGCAGUGGGGAAUAUUGGACAAUGGGCGCAAGCCUGAUCCAGCCAUACCGCGUGGGUGAAGAAGGCCUUCGGGUUGUAAAGCCCUUUUGUUGGGAAAGAAAAGCAGCAGGUUAAUACCCCGCUGUUCUGACGGUACCCAAAGAAUAAGCACCGGCUAACUUCGUG
rnacentral:rRNA from 1 species